rnacentral:rRNA from 1 species
AUUGAGCGCUGGCGGCAGGCCUAACACAUGCAAGUCGAGCGGAUGAAGGGAGCUUGCUCCUGGAUUCAGCGGCGGACGGGUGAGUAAUGCCUAGGAAUCUGCCUGGUAGUGGGGGAUAACGUCCGGAAACGGGCGCUAAUACCGCAUACGUCCUGAGGGAGAAAGUGGGGGAUCUUCGGACCUCACGCUAUCAGAUGAGCCUAGGUCGGAUUAGCUAGUUGGUGGGGUAAAGGCCUACCAAGGCGACGAUCCGUAACUGGUCUGAGAGGAUGAUCAGUCACACUGGAACUGAGACACGGUCCAGACUCCUACGGGAGGCAGCAGUGGGGAAUAUUGGACAAUGGGCGAAAGCCUGAUCCAGCCAUGCCGCGUGUGUGAAGAAGGUCUUCGGAUUGUAAAGCACUCUAAGUUGGGAGGAAGGGCAGUAAGUUAAUACCUUGCUGUUUUGACGUUACCAACAGAAUAAGCACCGGCUAACUUCGUG